CCUACGGGAGGCAGCAGUGAGGAAUAUUGGUCAAUGGGCGGGAGCCUGAACCAGCCAAGUCGCGUGAGGGAUGACGGCCCUACGGGUUGUAAACCUCUUUUACCGGGGAGCAAAUCGCGCCACGCGUGGCGCGUGAGAGAGUACCCGGGGAAAAAGCAUCGGCUAACUCCGUGCCAGCAGCCGCGGUAAUACGGAGGAUGCGAGCGUUAUCCGGAUUUAUUGGGUUUAAAGGGUGCGUAGGCGGGGCGACAAGUCGGCGGUCAAAUGUCGGGGCUCAACCCCGGCCUGCCGUCGAAACUGCCGUCCUUGAGUGGGCGAAAGGCGCGCGGAAUGCGUGGUGUAGCGGUGAAAUGCAUAGAUAUCACGCAGAACCCCGAUUGCGAAGGCAGCGCGCCGGCGCCCGACUGACGCUGAGGCACGAAAGCGUGGGUAUCGAACAGGAUUAGAUACCCGAGUAGUC
rnacentral:rRNA from 1 species